GUUCAGGGACGUCGAUUUGGAGUGGCGGUGGUAAAUUUGGGAAGAUGUUGAAGGAAAAGGUGAAGGACAUGACAUAUACGGAUGACCAGUGCGUGGUAUAUUGUAAGGAGAGGCAUGGAUACUUCUUCAAUACCGACAAUGGGAGUUACGAACACGUCAGCACCACUGGCACAAUCUUCGGCUUUGGAAUAACAUGUUCUUGCUACGUAUCGCACAAUCUCAAACAGUUUAUCAUAAACAAAUUCGGAGAGGAAAAGGUUGCGGAGGAUUUCGCAAGUUCGUGGUCUCGGGGUUUCCGCGAAAGAAAGCAAAGAGCCAGCUGAACAAAUUGGCCAAUCGCAAGGGACUUACAAUCAUCGAGUUCCUCACAUACGCGCAAGUUCAAGGGAUAUUAAGACAGAGGAUGGACGAAGAAACGUCCAAGUUAAGAAGGCAAAUGUCGGACGUUAAGAAAGUGGAACUUACGAGACAAGCGUCGUUUCAGAGACGUAUAGAGAGUCUCAAAAGUGAGCUCCAAACGUCGCGCGAUGAGGUCCGAAAACUUGAGGGUCAGCUGGUUGAGAAGAACCAAGAGAUCGCGAGAAUCCGAGGGAAGGAGCAGCCAAAGUGGAGGAGAUCAGGAUCCUGCAGAACGAAUAUACGAACAAAGUGGCGUUAUUGGACGAGAAUAAAACAUCUAUGGCUGAAUUGCAGAAGGAAUUGGACAAAAUCAAGGAACUCCACGCAAAGAAAGUCCAGGAAUUGAAUGAUCUCUCUAAUCAACUAUCAACGUCUGAGCAAGAUCGAUCACAAAUCCGGAAGGAGUUGGCAAACACCAAGCAAGAGUUGAAGACGUCCAAAGCUGAGGCUGAGAAUUUGAGAGAGGAAGUUGCAGCAUUGAAGGCUGAGGCGAGCAAACCGUUCUUCAAACGUAUGUGCGGACCGUGCUUCGGUGGAGGAGCUACAAAGAGUACCAAAAAACCAAAAACAACUACCAAUGGCAGGAAAUAGGAGAGAAAUCGAUAAAAUAAAGAAAAUAGAUAAACACUGUAAAGGCCUGCAUAGACGAUCAAAUUCCCAACCAAUUCCGAUUAAAGUAGACAUGCUGAUGACUCAUGGUGGUCACCAUCUACCAUCAAAUUUUGACGGGCCGCACUUUUUUGUUCAAAGUAAGAUCAGACCGGAGUACCACCAUUCAUCAAAUCCUGCCACAGGAAACAUUUCUGCCAAGUUUUCAUUUUAAAAUGAAGCAAAUUAAUGAGUUAAGACUGAUGACUCCCGACGCUUUGAUGCUACUUUGAUCGGAAUUGGUUCGGGAAUUUGAUCGUCUAUGGAGGGCUUCAUCAUUCCACGCGCCAUCGUCCAGAGAUGGUUGCUGGACCAAUCCCUGGAUCCCGGAGGUUGUUUCAAAAAGUUGUCGUGCCCCCCCCCCUCCCCCCUCCCCCCUCGGCGUAUUUCAACGAGAGGAUUUGGUCGAAUUUUCCAACCAGAUCGGUAGGGUUGCAACUAGAGUGCCUAUAUCGAGAGAGUACGCCAGUACGGGCAAACAAGUAAUUUGAGGUUAGGUCAUGGAGUUCUUAGGGCUCAACCUGUUUCAGCCAACCUGUGAAUUCAAAUUAUCCAGAGUGAUCACGGAGAUCGGUAGAUCUCCCCGCCAAGCUAAAAAUAUAAAUAUAAGGAGAACAACUAAAUAAAACCUCCCAGAGUAAGACCAGAAAACGCCUUCAAACGACUCUGCAGCAACCACACACACGCGGGGCGAUAACCCGAUAACCGUCGGCAGACGGUAAUAUAUACAGAAAAUAUUAGGAAUUGCCGAUUUUCGCUGCUUUUUAACUUUUGCUCACCUGUAGCAAGAAAACUCCUCAAAGGAUCAUGCUGAAAUUGGCAUGAUGAUUCUUCAAGAUUUUAAGGUCUCACCUUUUGGUGUCUGAUCUUUAAAAACUUAUUAUUAACGGAGAUAUGACGAUUUAAAGAUUAUAAAACGCUACCGGACUUCCUUUGUUUUCUAGAACUCCUGGCCUGGAUAUAGCUGCCGAUUCUCAUUGUUAGCGCGCUUUUUUUGUCAAACCAAAACAAAAACACUUAAAUAAACUCUUUCAGUGUCAAUAAAAGAACAAUUUGGGAAUUUUAGGAAUAUAACUACACGGAAAAGUGUUUCAAAUUAAAGUUUAGCGGCUUCUUUCGUAAGUUCUCGGGCCGUAAUUAUUUCUGACGCUAGAGUUCGCAUGCGCAAUUACACGGCACGGCGGCCAUUCGUGGUUUUGUUAUUGUUAUCACAGGUGUUCAGUGUCAAUAAUUGUCAAAAAUCAUGUGAAUUUUAAUCGUUUUAAAGUUAUUAAUUCUUUUUCUCUGUAGUUCAUAUGUUUCUAUAAGUGAUUUAGUCCUAAAUAAUCAUAGUUCAAGCACUUGAAGCUUCCGGCGGACCACAAUCGUCUUUGAGGAAACAGCUCAGCUGAUACAGACCUAGAGUUCCUUCAUACUGUUGCUACCUAUGCCUUGACUAAGCCUUUGUUUUCUCUCACUUAUUUUCGUCAUCAUCAUGUACCUUUAUUCCAUCAUGAAUUCCGAGUGGAAAUUUUCUGAAGUGCGUGGUUUACCUAUUCUCCGUUGUUGUUGAUGGAGAAAGUUGAUGGUGUAGCCACAUCCAAAUAUCCGCGUCUCAAUCUCAACUAGUAUUAGCCACGAAACCCCAUGCUUUAUUAUUUCAUUCCUACUAUCUACAUGUGAUUUAUAGCAAAGGAAUAUCUCUUUCUCUCAGGUAACUUAUCAAACAUCCUAAACGAUACCCUCACUUGAUUGUGAUUCGUCCAGUUGGCAGCUCACAAGCGCAAGUUCUAUUGAGUCAAUGUUUAGCACUUGACACUGUAUUAAACUGAUUUGUGACUAUGACGAUGAUAUGUUUCUUCGUCUUCCAGAUACUGAACAUGAUUUACUAUUAGUUUUCAACUUGGCCUCUAAAAUCAUGAGCAUUGUCUGCACUUAGUGUUUCGUAUCGCUCAUGAAAAUCUGUCUUAUUCUAGUAAGCGUUGCGUUGUAGAGCUCGCUGAGUGUAUGUUUAUAUAAAGCUCUUGUAUUGUGUUUGUCACAACUUGCCAAUUGUGCCAUCUGUUACCAUGUACCAACGUGUUAUUAAGUGGUGCUGAUUCAGAGCUGAUCAGAAAAUGAUAUUAAUCUCAACAUGCGAUGAGCAAGCUCUAACAGCAUCAGGUGCACAGCUGAUUGCAUAAUAUAGGACUUUGUUAUCAUGAUGCUUUUCUUAGUGUUGGUAUGUUAAGUGCUCAAACUUCUUUGAGAUUUAGAUGUGCGUGGUCUGAUCCCGGCCCUAAGUUAUUUAAGUGAACCCAGAAUCUGUACUUACUGAGUCAUCACUGAAAAAAAGGGUUUGGAUUUUUGCCGGAAUAUCGGUGUACAACACCAACUCCGGAUAGCUGAUAUGGCCCCAGCUAGUUGUUUUGGAUAGUAGGCAAACCCGAUUUUGGAUUGUAUGCUAACUCGGAAUUUCGAGCUUAGUUUAGAUAGUAUCCGAACUAGUUCAGAUACUAUCUAAACUAGUUCAGAUACUAUCUAAACCUGGUUUGGAUCGCUAAAUUGAAGCAUCGGCAGCAAAUUUUGGGGUUUGUGGUCAGGGGACAGUUGAAAAGAGCCCACCAAAAUGGAUGGUUUACGGAAAUAAUGUCUAAAACCGCGAAAAAUAAGGUCCACGAGACAUUUGGAGGCACAUUUCUCGAUAUUUACGUGCAGAAUUUUUUUGCCUACGUCGGGAUUUGAACCUGGGACCUACCUAACCGAAGACGAGGAUCCUACCUACUGAGCUAUGCCGCGAACUUGAGAAGCGGGGACGAAAAACCCGCAUUUAGCUUCCAAUUGAUAGGGCAGCCAGGAUAUCUCGACCAAUUUACAUAGCUUUUGUUCGAUUUUUAUUUUAAUGCAUUAUUUUACGUCAUUUGUUUUACUUUAUUUUGUUUUUUUAGUUGAUUUUCUUUAGACUUCAGAUAUUUUAUGUAUUUACUUUAUUUUAUUAAUUGACUUUAUUUUAUUAAUUUACUUUAUUUUACUUAUUUACUUAAUAUUAUUAAUUUACUUUAUUUUAUUUAUUUACUUUAUUUUAGGAAUUUACUUU
rnacentral:lncRNA from 1 species